CUUAAGCCUCAACCAGCCAGUCUGUUAGCUACCCUGCCUGUCAGUAGUGACAGACAGCCAACAAUACAGAGAACAACAGCCAUCGCCAACCAGUAAAAAUUAUCUUGCCAACCACAGACAGUGACAGUUAUCCAGCCAGCACCAGCCAAUGACAGUUAUAUAGCCAGCACCAGCCAGUGACUGUUAUCCUGCCAGCACCAGCCAGUGACAGUUAUCCUGCCAGCACCAACCAGUGACCGUUAUCCUGCCAGCCAGUGACAGUUAUCCAGCCAACAGCAGCCAGUGACACUUAUCCAGCCAGUGACAGUUAUUCAGCCAACAGCAGCCAGUGACCAGUAUCCUGCCAGCACCAGUCUGUGACAGUUAUCCAGACAGUACCAGCCAGUGACAGUUAUCCAGUCAGCACCAGCUAGUGACAGUUAUCAUCCCAGCACCAGCCAGUGACAGUUAUCCAGUCAGUAGCAGCCAGUGAUCGUUAUGUAGUCAGCACCAACCAGCUCACCAGCUAGGAAGUGGGGAGUGAUAGCAAGGACAGGACCAGUGUCGACAAAGACAGGUGCCCUUUCCUAAACUUUCUGUCCUCUGGAUCACCUUUUCUAUAUGUUGUAGUACUAUCAUCAUGACUGGCAGCAGCCAUGACACUAGUACUUGGUUGCUGCUCCUGCUCUUCUAUCAACUGAUUGUGAUCCAUACCGAUUCAGUGCUUAUGAUUAUGUGGACACAGUGAGAAAACUUUCAAGUGGCUGAAGGUUAUAAACCAUAAGAAGUAUGAGGAGGAAGAAGAGAAAUUUCCCUGUAAGUCUUGAAGUGUGCUUGUCAUUUACAUACAGUAUGGCAUCUGCUAUAAGUGAUGAACUAAUGUCCCCUGGCCUUGACAACUGUUCCUAAUAUUCAUAGACAGUUCAAAGUGUAAAAUUUUUUUUUGCAGAUUAAGCAGAAUUCUCGCCAUGUAUUUCUUCU